GUCCACGCUGUAAACGAUGGGUACUAGACGUUGGGAAGCUUGUCUUCUUAGUGUCGCAGCUAACGCGAUAAGUACCCCGCCUGGGGAGUACGGCCGCAAGGUUAAAACUCAAAGGAAUUGACGGGGGCCCGCACAAGCGGUGGAGCAUGUGGUUUAAUUCGAUGCAACGCGAAAACCUUACCUGCCCUUGACAUCUGGAGAAUCCUGCAGAGAUGCGGGAGUGCCUUCGGUAACUCCAAGACAGGUGCUGCAUGGCUGUCGU
rnacentral:rRNA from 1 species